rnacentral:lncRNA from 1 species
UGAGGAGCAUGGAUUUCCACAAAGAUUUGAUUGCUAGAAAGGACAACUAUACCCAACACCAGGGCGCCUGGUCCCAGAGGACAGUAGAUUUGGCUGGGGGCUACUACGGGGCGAAGCGGAGUGGAGUGACUUAACACCAGCACCCCCAACGGCCCACUUCUCCUAGCUCACAACUAGCCAGGGACUCGCUAGUUCCUGGGUAUGUGUUGCCAAGGUCUGACCCUAUCUCUUACUGUGGGAAAGUCACACGAACACUGUCAGGGCUCUGAAAUUCUAUCAGAAGUGGUGCAGGCGAAUUCCCAAAGAGUCCUGAGGGGGCGGGCUUGUAGGGAAACGCGUUAGUCUGGUCUGUUUUCCUCCAGCUUCACCGGGUAGGGAGGUGGCGGAGGGGGGAGUCCAUCUCACACCCUAACGAAGUUGGCAGGAAGCCCCCGAAAGGAGGCGCUGUGGACUCCAAUUGGAUACCAUUUGGCUCUCUUUAGGAGCUUUCAAUUUCUUCAAGAAGCCCAGCUGAUGAGUCUCUUGUAAAUACCACUUGUUCUGCAAAGGGCAUCAUAGAGGGGCUGGCCUGUGGAUGGGCAGGGUACGGAGAGUUGGGAGGAGGGAAUGGGACUCCGUCACUUUCGACCUUAUCCGCUUAUUCACUUAGGAAGAAUGCGGAGGGGUGGGUCCAAAACCCAGCAGAGAGUUGCAAACUUUUUAAAACACACCCUACGCCAACUCUUCUCAAUGGCACUCCCAACCAAGCACCAGAAGGCGGCGCUGUUGAACUCUGAACAAAGCCAAAGAAGUUGGAGGGCCCCACAGUUGCCCAGCUAAAAAAUAGUUAAGAGUGUGAGGAACUCGAAGGCCUUGCCCUGGAGUAAGAAACUCGGCUUCGGGAGACUCUUUGUGGAUUCUGUGGCUUACUUGUGGGUCUUCCUUCCCUGGUCAAGUACAGACUGGACUUUAAAAGGGAACCGGAGCCUGUGGCAUCCUCAGACUACUUACCCACAGUGACCAGCGGGAGUGCACACUAUAAAAAAUGAAAGGAAGCAGGUGUGCUGGUCCCUCCCUCCCUUCUCCAUUGCCAUGGGAAUUUAGAUCUGGGACUUGCAGAGCCUUUUAAUAUCCCACUGAGGGGUGUCCUGUCAAAACUGCCCCUGCUCAUCAGUAAGGAAACCAGAGAAGUACCCAUGAGUUCUGAGAUCUGAAGCUCAGCUGCACCCCCCCCCCCAGGUGUGCUCCAAGAAGAGGGGGGGAAAAAGACUCUGAAAUGAAGAGUAGGGCAGUCCCCUGUGGGAUAUGGGAGCAUUGUGAUAUGGGUUGGAACCCCCUAGAGGCACUGUUGAAAGUUCUCCAAAAAUGAGAAGAAUUCCUUGUGUGGAUGAGGGACAGGAUCAGCUACGAAAUCUACAGAGCACAGGGCAGGUUAUAAAUGCGGGAGCCCUUAUGCUGUUCUCAAGAAUUUCAAGAACACAAUAAUAUAGCACUAAACCAAGAUGGUGUCGUUCUGAGAGAGACAUUCCUCCUUGAAUGGGAAUCUUUCUGAGCCUGUCAGCACCAAAAGGAGCUAAGGAACAUUUGAAGAUCAGGUCUCAUGCCACACCUGACUGGUUUGAAUCUUGGAGGGGUCUUUGCUGAUUUACCAACACCAUCUUUGAUUUGGCAUCCUUUUAAGGUCUCCUUGAUCCCAUUAUUAAUUCUUGAAAUGGUAAAGAAAAAAAAAUGGGAAGUGCAUGAAUAGCCCCAGUUACUGAGUCCAUGAAGACCUCAAUGAUGCUUUCAUAUUACAAAGAAACAAGACCAACAAUGGAAGUAGAGAAAUGUAACAUAGAGGUACAGACAGUCUCUAGGCCACCCUGCAGAACAUGGAUGGACAAAACCCAUUUGGCUUUCCAAUCCCUUAGGGUUUUGAGAUACACCACCUUUGCCUCCCAGGGCUUCCCUCUACAAUUUCAUUUUUCCUCCCCAGUAUUGCAUUUCAGACUAUUCUGCAAGUUCUAUAACACCUUUCAGAUUGAAGGUCCCAGUCCUCUAUUCUUCUGGGACCCCAUCUUCCUAUGAAUAUCUCUUACAUUUAGGAAUGAGCCAUUCCUUCUUGUCUCUAUGAGGAUGGUUUAUCCAUUUCCCUCCCCAUCAACUGGCUCCUGACCUCACUGUUCUCAUUGUGUGCUCCCCAGCCAAGACCUCUGUUAUUGCUAAAACAGUCCACUGAAAGAACACCAUCAUAUCCUACAUACUGAUUCCAAGAACUUGUUUUCAGUCUUCACCCUCCCAGAUAUCUCUGUGUCGUUUACACUGUCAACCUCUCGCUAUUCUCAAAGCAUUUCCUUUCCUGACUUUCAAAGUACAUUUGUUCUUGUCCCACCUCUCCUCUGAGCUGUACGUGUGGUCCCCCUGCCUCACUAGGAUGGAUGCUUCCCAAGGUUCUGCCUAGAGUUAUCACCUGUCUUUUACAUCCCAGUCUUUGGUGCACUCAUCAACUCCCCUUGCAGAACACAAGAUGUCUUACAAGGGGUUCCCAACCUAAUCUUACUCUGUAUCAAUAUUUGAGCCACCCAGUUUGAAACCAUACAUUUGUCUCUGACUUCAUGUUCUUCAUCUUCUCUCUCCAACUUCAUCAGAGUUUCUGUCUCAUCCUUUCCUUUUUCACUGAUCCUGCCUUAUCAAUUUAUGCUGAAACAAUACUUCAACUCUAUUCCUUUCUUCUUUUCUCUUCCACUCUUCAUCCCCUACCAAACCACUACCAAACCGUAGAUAGCACUUCCUCAGUGCUAUCUACCCCCCUCCUUCCGCUGGGAGAGGUCUGAACUCCUAUCCUCUCUCCUUGCUGAAGAUGCUCAUCAUUGCGUCUCUGUUACAAAUGAGGGAAUUUACACUCAAGGGGUUGCACUGGGAUUUGCUCCCAAAGCCUGCACUCCACCAUGUCAAACAACUUUGUUGACCAAUGACCUACCAAUCCCUGUAGAUGAAAAAAAAAAAAAAAUCACAGGAAGGGAAACUUCUGCUCACUUUCAGAUAAAUAUCUCAUCUUUAUUCUAUGGUCAUGUCUCUUUCUCUGGCUGGAAAAUUUUUGUCUUUGUCCCCAUAUUAACCAUCUUUCAACUUCCAGUUGACAAGUUGCCCCAUUAUCAAGGGAACCCAACCAGAACUGACUCUCUCUGAACUUUCAUAACAAGUAACCCAGCCUCUUUGUGUGUCAGUUUCCUCAGCUGCAUGACAGGAACUAUAAGGGUUCCCCUUUCGAAGCAUUAUUAUGAGGACUAAAUGGGUUACAUAUGUAAGGUGUUUAGAACAGUUGAGCCACAAUAAGCUCUCAACAAGCUUUAUCUAAAAAGAAGCAUAUACUUCCCAGAAUUUGGAUUCAGACACUGAUUGUUUUCAGCACCCAG